rnacentral:tRNA from 2 species
GCGGGGGUGGCGGAAUGGCAGACGCGCUGGUCUCAGAAGCCAGUGUCGCAAGACAUGAGGGUUCAACUCCCUCCUCCCGCACCA